UACGUAGGUGGCGAGCGUUGUCCGGAUUUACUGGGCGUAAAGAGCGCGCAGGCGGUCGUUCAAGUCGCGUGUGAAAGCCCCCCGGCUCAACUGGGGAGGGUCACGCGAUACUGAUCGACUCGAAGGCAGGAGAGGGAAGUGGAAUUCCCGGUGUAGUGGUGAAAUGCGUAGAUAUCGGGAGGAACACCAGUGGCGAAGGCGACUUCCUGGCCUGUUCUUGACGCUGAGGCGCGAAAGCUAGGGGGAGCAAACAGG
rnacentral:rRNA from 1 species